AUUGAACGCUGGCGGCAUGCCUUACACAUGCAAGUCGAACGGUAACGCGGGGCAACCUGGCGACGAGUGGCGAACGGGUGAGUAAUGUAUCGGAACGUGCCCAGUUGUGGGGGAUAACUGCUCGAAAGAGCAGCUAAUACCGCAUACGACCUGAGGGUGAAAGCGGGGGAUCGCAAGACCUCGCGCAAUUGGAGCGGCCGAUAUCAGAUUAGGUAGUUGGUGGGGUAAAGGCCCACCAAGCCAACGAUCUGUAGCUGGUCUGAGAGGACGACCAGCCACACUGGGACUGAGACACGGCCCAGACUCCUACGGGAGGCAGCAGUGGGGAAUUUUGGACAAUGGACGCAAGUCUGAUCCAGCCAUGCCGCGUGCGGGAAGAAGGCCUUCGGGUUGUAAACCGCUUUUGUCAGGGAAGAAACGCUCUGGGUUAAUACCUCGGGGUAAUGACGGUACCUGAAGAAUAAGCACCGGCUAACUACGUGCCAGCCGCCGCAGUAACAC
rnacentral:rRNA from 1 species